AUGAAGAGAAAACGAAAAACUAUGAGAGUGUAGAAAUACAUUUAGCAAUAGUAUCUUUCAAUAGAAGAAGUAAAUAUGUUAGGACCCGAAAGAUGGUGAACUAUACUUGAACGGAUUGAAGCCGAAGGAAACUUUGGUGGAAGAUUCACGCAGUGUUAACGUGCAAAUUACUUGUCAUAUUUGAGUAUAGGGGCGAAAGACUCAUCGAACUAUCUAGUAGCUGGUUCCACCUGAAUAUUCCCUUAGGAAGGUCAAAGUAUUAAUAGUAUUGAUUGGUAAAGAUAAUGAUUAGGUGUAAUGGGUGAGUAUUUUCACUCAACAUCUUGUCAAACUAUGAAUAAACAAAGAAGAAUUCUCAGUGUUAAAUACACUUCAGGAAUUUAAAUAUAAACAUACUUUGAAUCGGCCAAGUCUGGUAAGCAGGACUGGCGAUGCGGGAUGAACCGAACGUCGAGAUAAAGUGCCAAAAAGAAACAUAACGAGUACCACAAAAGGUAUUCAUUCAUAUUGACAAUAGGACGGUGGCCAUGGAAGUCGGAAACCGCUAAGGAAUGUGUAACAACUCACCUAUCGAAUGAAUGAGUCCUGAAAAUGGAUGGCAUUAUAAUUUCUUAACUGAUACUCGACCGUUAAAAUGAAGACAUUUUAACGAGUAAGGAAACGAAAUGGCGUAAGGACAACAAAAGUAGUAAAGAUUUAAAGUAAUUUAGAUUGAAACUGUCCUUAGUGCAGAUCUUGGUGGUAGUAGCAAAUACUAAGAAGAGGAAAAAAACAUCUAGAACUGAAGAGGAGAAAGGUUCCUAAACAACAUUACUUGGAUUAGGGUGAAUCGAUCCUAAAUUACAGAUGGAAAUCCUUAAGAAAUAUAUAAGUGACAUAUAGUCAAUAUAAGGAUUGAAAGGGAAUAAGAUUAAUAGUUCUUAAUCAAGAGAAUUAAUGAUUAAAUCUUAGAAAUAAGAUUAAAUCGAAUAAAAUGGUAACAUAUCAUGAACUUUAAAAUGGAGUGUGAAAAUCUACGGAAGAGUUCUCUUUUCUUCUUAACAAAAGUAAACUCCACUGAAAUGAAUCAAUCAGAGAAGUGGAAUUUAUUGGCUUUGUAAGAAAUUCAACAUAUGAUUGAAUUGUGGUAUUUUUGCAGUCUUCAUAAAAAUUAAAGGGAAUCUUAGCAUAAAGCUAAUUAAAGAAUUCUUUUGCUCGUACUAAUAACCGCAACAGGUCUCCAAGAAGCAAAAUCUUUAGUUAAAUAGAAUAACGCAGGUAAGGGAAGUCGGCAACAUAGCUCUGUAAGUUAGCAAGAAAGAGUAGCUCUGGUGAUUUCCUUGUAAAAGGAUUAAAAUCGAAUCAGAACUUUAAAGGUUAGGGGAAUCCGACUGUUUAAUAAAAACAUAGCAUUCUGAUAAAUCUAAAAGGUUCAUUACAGAAUGUGAUUUCUGCCCAGUGCUCUGAAUGUCAAGGUAAUGAAAUUUACUUAAGCGCGGGUUAACGGCGGGAGUAACUAUGACUCUCUUAAGGUAGCCAAAUGCCUCGUCAUCUAAUUAGUGACGCGCAUGAAUGGAUCACCGUGAUUCCCACUGUCCCUAUCUGCAAUCUAGUGAAACCACAGUCAAGGGAACGGGCUUGAUUGGAACGGCGGGGAAAGAAGACCCUGUUGAGCUUGACUCUAAUUUAUCAUGUGAAAUCGAUUUUUUGGUAUAGGCUAGGUGGGAGACUUUGUCAAACGUGUAAUACCACCACUAGAAAUACUAUUUCACUCAUUUCGUUAA
rnacentral:rRNA from 1 species